rnacentral:rRNA from 1 species
AACUGGCGAACGGGUGAGUAACGCGUAAAUAACUUGCCUCAGAGAUUGGGGCAACAUUGGGAAACCAGUGCUAAUACCAAAUAAUGCAGCGGGCUCUUCGGAGCAUUGUUGUUAAAGUAGGCUUCGGCUUACACUUUGAGAUAGGUUUGCGUCCGAUUAGUUUGUUGGUGGGGUAAUUGCCUACCAAGACUAAGAUCGGUAGCUGGUCUGAGAGGAUGAUCAGCCACACUGGAAUUGAGAUACGGUCCAGACUCCUACGGGAGGCAGCAGUAAGGAAUUUUGCACAAUGGGCGAAAGCCUGAUGCAGCAACGCCGCGUGAACGAUGAAGUUUUUAGGAAUGUAAAGUUCUGUCGUAUGGGAAGAAAUCUUUCGAAUGUUAAUACCAUUCGUUAAUGACGGUACCAUACAAGAAAGCACCGGCUAACUUCGUGCCAGCAGCCGCGGUAAUACGAGGGGUGCUAGCGUUGUCCGGAUUUACUGGGCGUAAAGGGUACGUAGGCGUUUUAAAAAGUUGAAUGUUAAAUAUCUUAGCUUAACUAAGAAAGUGCAUUCAAAACUGUUAAAAUAGAGUUUGAGAGAGGAACGCAGAAUUCAUGGUGGAGCGGUGACAUGCGUAGAUAUCAUGAGGAAAGUCAAAUGCGAAGGCAGCCUUCUGGCUCAAAACUGACGCUGAGGUACGAAAGCGUGGGGAGCGAACAGGAUUAGAUACCCUGGUAGUCCACGCCGUAAACGAUGAGUAUUUGGUGCUGGGGGAUUCGACCCUUUCAGUGCCGUAGCUAACGCGAUAAUACUCCGCCUGGG